rnacentral:rRNA from 1 species
GUCUGCCGUUGAUUUUGAGAAUUGAAAGGCUGCGGUAUUUUAACUGUACGAAGGUAGCAUAAUCAUUUGUCUUUUAAUUGAAGGCUAGUAUGAAUGGUUUCAUGAAAAAUAAACUUUCUUUUUUUGAUAUAUUGAAUUUAAUUUUUUAGUUAAAAAGCUAAAAUCUUUUUAUGGGACGAGAAGACCCUAUAGAAAUUUACUUUAUUUAUAAUUUUUUGUUUUUUGUUUUUGUUAUGAAAUUUUAGAAUAUAAAGUUUUGUUGGGGUGACAUUAAAAUUAAUUUAACUUUUAUUAAUUUUUUCAUUUAUUUAUGUUUUUUUUGAUCCAGAAUUUUUGAUUAUUAGAUUAAUUUACUUUAGGGAUAACAGAUGGCGCGGGGGGGG